UGCAUGUUCGCAUAAGUGGGAGCUAAAUGA
rnacentral:piRNA from 1 species